GAAUCUAAAACGUUGUCACGAUUUAACAAGACAAAAGCAGAUAGAUCACUUAUCAAGUUUAUUUCGACAUAAGACAUAGCCAUGUAUAAACUGACUGCCUGCCUUCUAGCUGUCCUGAUUUUUGGCCUCGUCAAUGGAGAAGGUUGUACAACUGUUGGAGACUGUGCUCACACCAGUUGUGACAAUGAAUCAACAUUGCAGUGCGAUAGCCAGAACGGAAUAUGUGUGUGUGUUUUAAACGACUCCCAAUGUUCCAGUAAACAGGAAUGCUUAGAUACACAGGACUGGUGGUGCCCAGACCGUUUGAGGCAUUGCUUUGAUGGCAAAUGUGUUUGUCAGUAUAUUCCUGCAUAACUUAUGUGAAUAAUAAACAGACAUGGGCAGUUUACAUAUUAUGGAAUGAGAAUGAGAAAUAAAUUUUAUUUUAUUGUGAACAA